rnacentral:rRNA from 1 species
UACAGAGGUCCCGAGCGUUGUUCGGAUUCAUUGGGCGUAAAGGGUGCGUAGGCGGCGGGGCAAGUCUGAUGUGAAAUCCCGGGGCUCAACCCCGGAACUGCAUUGGACUACUGCCUUGCUGAGUACUGGAGAGGGAACUGGAAUUUACGGUGUAGCAGUGAAAUGCGUAGAGAUCGUAAGGAAGGCCAGUGGCGAAGGCGAGUUCCUGGACAGUGACUGACGCUGAGGCACGAAGGCCAGGGAGCAAACGGG